GCACUUGCAGUUCCUGCACAGUAGGACACCUCCUAACGACUGAGAAUUUGCUGCCUCCAAGUGGACACUGCAGAGAAUUUCAGAAACAAAAUCUAAACUCAAGACUCAAGUGCACACCUAUGCGUCUGAGUUCAUACUGAGUUCAACAGGACUUACUGUCAGGUAAAUAUGCAUAGGAUUGUAGCAAUAAAUAAAUCCCUGCAAAAUUUGAACUUGUACUCAUUAAAUAACACCUGACAAACAGUGAUACGCUUAAAAACUAUUGAAUAAAACGGGCAUAGGCAAACUCGACCCUCCAGUUGUUUUUGGCCUACAACUCCCAUGAUCCCUAGUUAACAGGACCAGUGGUCAGGGAUGAUGGGAAUUGUAGUCCAAAAACAUUUGGAGGGCCGAGUUUGCCUAUGCCUGGAAUAAAAAGUGGACCUGCUAUCUGACUAUUCAGUACCCUCCACCCAAAGUGAUGUGAAAUACUUCGAACAACCAGCAUGGCAUUGUACUUUUUAACGUAUUUGCAUCCCACCUUUCCUCAAGGUGUUCUGCACACAGUCAAUUAUACACAACCUGAAAUAAUUUAGUGCAGGAGAAGCAGUGGUCUUGGAGUUCAGAGAGAGGAGGUUUUGUGCUGCUCCAGAUGAAUGCACAGUUCUUUCCUGCUGAGGGAAAAAAGCUCUCUUCUGCCCAGGUUCUUAUCCUCUCUCCCCUAGGUCUCAGGGAUUAGUUGUUCAAGCCUUCUUACUUAUGCAGGACUGACUGAAUAUGUCAUUUUCUCUCUCAGUGCCUAAUUUUGGAAUCUUAAGUUCAGUUCUCAACAUUUCCACAUCAGUAUAUGUAUGUUUUAAAAGUUCCUCAUGGAAAUUCAUCAGCAAAUUUCUCCUUGAUACACAAUUUUGUAUGCAAUUUUCCCUAUAGAUACCUCUUUUACAAGAGAUUUUCAACAAUAUGAUGCAUUUUUGUGUGCUCUCUUCACCAAUAUAUGCAUUUUAACACAUGCUUUACCUAAAUUAUAUGCAUUUCUAUACACAUUACUUGGUUGGAGAACUGUACUGCAAAAUUCAGAGAAAUGUGAAUUUUUAAAGAUGGUUGAAUUUUGGUUUGCAUAUUGUUUUGGAAAGGGCAAAUAUGGGAGGUACCACUUUAACUGAAAACUGAAUCAAAUUCCUCCCCCAUCCCUGUUUCACACUGGUCCUGAAAGACCUACAUUGGCUUCCAGUAUGUUUCCGAGCACAAUUCAAAGUGUUGGUGCUGACCUUUAAAGCCCUAAACAGCCUCGGUCCAGUAUACCUGAAGGAGCAUCUCCACCCCCAUCAUUCAACCUGAGGAGUGUAUCCAUCCCCACCAUUCAUCAUUCAGACACUGAGGUCCAGCUCCAUGGGCCUUCUGGCGGUUCCCUCAAUGCGAGAAGUGAGGUUACAGGGAACCAGGCAGAGGGCCUUCUUGGUAGUGGUGCCCGCCCUGUGGAACGCCCUCCCAUCAGAUGUCAAGGAAAUAAACAACUAUCUGAUUUUUAGAAGACAUCUGAAGGCAGCCCUGUUUAGGGAAGUUUUAAUGUUCGAUGUUUUAUUGUAUUUUUAAUAAUUUGUUGGAAGCCACCCAGAGUGGCUGGGGAAACCCAGCCAGAUGGACGGGGCAUGUAUGUAUGUGUAAAUAAAUAAUCUCUGUUAUCCUGAUCACAGGUCGUUAGCAUGCAGCCAGAGACACAUUUGUCCUAGAACACUGGUGAUGGAUUGUGUCUUGAACAUGGGAUGCUCACCUGGGCUGAGGUCACACUUGGCUGAGUGCUACUCCUUAUCGCUCCAACAAGAUUAGGCAUCUUCAAUUUUGAUGUGCAUCUUUGCCAUGCUAGCUUCACUAUGAAACUUGGUCUUCCAACACCUUGUGUUGCUUUUUGUCCUGGUUGCCAGAGUGCUCUUUUCCAAGCUAAACAUGAAAGGCUGUUACUCAUGGACAAUAGUGCAUAAAUGUAAGAAAUAAAAAACAGUUUUUACUUAUGAGCUCGACUGAAAUCCUUAAAGGCUUCUUAUAAAUGAAGAGCAUAUAUGAGCCCAAACCACAUAAAAGCAUAUGCACCUUAUUCAAAUGUGUAAGAAAGGCAGUAGAUCUGGUUCUCUACCACGAGAAUAUUUUGGGCUACAACUCCCAUCAUCCUCAACCCAGUACAGCUGUGCUGGGCGCUAAGUUUGCCAAGGCCAGACUCUGUUUUUUCCCCCAUCUAGCCUGAAUCCGCUGCCAACCCAUUUCAUUGAAUUGUUGAAUCAAAGGAUUCUCUUAUUCACAUGCCAUCAUUUUAUAAACUUGCAUCAGGCCAUGUUACCUCCUUUCACCCCCACCCCAAAACACCUAAAAAGCUGCAAGUGUUUAAAUAGCCUUUUCUAAGUAAGAAGGAAGUCCCUCCCCCACCAAAAGGAGGCAGUGUUUCCUGAGAUAGGGAAGGGGAACAUCCCAUUUGUGUAUGAGCCGUUAUCUGCCUGUGCCUGCAGACUCGGGUUUUCUUGCUUCCCUUAUCGGAGAAACCAGAAACAGCCAGCAGCUCCCAAGAACUGACGAUAUGAAGCUGCCACAGAGUCAAUCCCAAGGCGGGAUUUAACACCGUAUUCUUUGGCCGCGGCAUUCCAAGGCCUUGGGGAGACAGUCCAAAUUUGCUACCUGACAUCCUUCUAUCUCAGAGCUGCAUUCCCUCAUGGGCGAACUUCUGGGGGCUUCUUGGCCACAGUAGGUGAGGCCAAAGGUUAAAGUGGGCGGAGCAAUGUAUGUGACUCUCCAGCCACCCCAAAUCCCAAGGCUUCUUCACCCCCUCCUACACCUCUCUCUUCAUCCUGGCAAGCAAGAGGCAUUCUCACAGUUCAAGGACAAAGUUCAGCCAGGCGAAAACACUCAAGGAGGGCAUGGAAGCAGGGCUGGUGAGAGGCGUAGCCUGGAGAGUGCAUCCCAGCAACCAUCCAUUUUUCUGUUCCAUAAGCUACUGAAGAGGCGUUGCUGCUAUGGACAAAUUAUGGAUAAAUUUUCCAACAUAAUUCACCAUCCCCCAGAAAUCUCUGGAUGUCCUUCUUUGAGCCCCUUGUGUAAUAGUCACUGUCUGAGGACAUGAUCUUUGAUACCACAGAUAAUUCUGUCCCUUAUCAAACUCUCUCUCUCUAGUCAGCAAAAUGACAAUUCUUACUCAAGCUUCUUAAUUCGGUUCUUAAUUUAUCAGAGUUUGGUCUACUUUUUGUAUGCACCUAAAGAACUUAUUUGAGUCUCAUUCUUUUUAGGCAUGCAGUGUUCUUCAAACUUGGGAUGCGGGUGGUGCUGUGAGUUAAACCACAGAGCCUAGGACUUACCAAUCAGAAGGUUGGCAGUUCGAAUCCCCGCGACGGGGUGAGCUCCUGUUGUUCGGUCCCUGCUCCUGCCAACCUAGCAGUUCGAAAGCACGUCAAAGUGCAAGUAGCUAAAUAGGUACCGCUCCAGCGGGAAGGUAAACGGCGUUUCCGUGCGCUGCUCUGGCUCGCCAGAAGCAGCUUAGUCAUUCUGGCCACAUGACCUGGAAGCUGUAUGCCGGCUCCCUUGGCCAAUAAAGUGAGGUGAGCACCGCAACCCCAGAGUCGGUCACAACUGGACCUAAUGGUCAGGGGUCCCUUUACCUUUAUUCUUCAAACUUAUCAAUAAUUGCUUUCGGUUUCAUACUCUUUCCUCCAGCCAUCCCAAACUCUCUGUUCUACAUGAAAAAAAAUGGAGAAUUUGAUCAUAUCCGGGGGUUUUUUCCUUCAGCCCCUGUUGCUACCAGGUACAAUCCAAACCUUUGUCGAAGCCUCCUCCAGUUAUUUGCAAUAUCAUCUGACGAUUUCAGGCUUGAUGGAAGCUGCAGAAGUUCCAUUUUUGCAAAGAUUUACCAGCACCUAUAUAAACCUUGUUGUUUUCUCUUGGUGUGAUUCCCACAGCUUCUUAUCUUCUGCAGUAUCUGGAACCCCUCAGCCAGGAAACCUCUGCCAGUUAAUACAACAUAAUCACCAUUCUCCACUUUCUCACACCAUGUAAAAUUUCUAAGUUGAAGAACAAGCACCAAAAAUGAGGAAUAGUUAAAAGAAAGAGCUAUAUGCAACCGAGCCUCUAAUACUCUGCUGGAAGUGAAACUAAAGGCCCAAACGAGGUGCCCAGGUAAUGUGACUCCAGGGCAAAUGCUUAAAUUGCCAAUUCCUUAACACUAAGGGAGUGUCAGCAAAUCACAAGCUCUAUCAUUACGGUACGUAGGUGUUUGAGAUGAAGGAGCUGGAAGAGCCAAACACUUAUUUUUAUGAUUUUCAGUUGUUGGCAAGGUCUCCAGUUUACUAGCCAAAAUAGUUUGGGAGGCUGCCCAGACGCAGUUAGCAUGACCACUUAAUCAACUCAAAAUAGCUGUUGUUCGUCAGCCUGCUCCAUUCUCCCUUGCCUAAGCUUCCACGGGGAAGAUGGUAUUUGCACACUCCACAAGGCACUGGCCUGUCUAAGCUGCAAAAACUAUUGCACAAACAUGCUAUCCAUUUCCUGUCCUUGAACCAUCUGCCUAAAAUACACAGAGCAGCUGUGCAUGCCUAGUUUCUAAACAUCAACAAAUGCCACAAGGCCAAAGCUCCCUAAACCAGAUGUGUGGAGAUUGGUUGUGGUUACUUAGUGGGGAGGGCAGUGCAUCCUCUGCACAUGUGCAGAUGCACUCUUGCAUGCAGUUAUCCCGUUGUAGAAAAUAACACCCAGGGCUGAAUAUCAGUGAGUUCUGGCUCAGAUUACCCGCAAACGUAUCGUGGUUUCAACUCUUUCCUCUCUGUCCUUCCCCCAGGACUCAGUUUGAACCAAGGUUUUUAAUUCUGGAACUGGAUUUCAGCCAUGCCACAUGCCUCUGAGCAUGUGCAGAGAACCCCAUCUCCCUUAUGAACAAGCAGCCAUGCACAGCAGUGGUAUCUGGUGCCCGUUGGGGCUGGCAAAGCAGAAGGCAGUGAGAUCAACAGUAGGUGGCGCCAAAGCCAGUGACAGGCAGAGCCACCCUGUGACUGGUUGUAAGGAAAAAGGCAAGGAAAUGUGGGCAGCCUGAGAGUAGACUGAGGCUGGUAGGGCAAUACCCCAUUUGCCCUAAUGGACCAGCUUCUGUUGAAUGAACAGCCUCCAUGGAUUUUGGAACUGAAAAUCCAGGGGGAGAAGAGAUUUUAGGUGGAACUGGACCCCGGCACCUUCCCAGCUCCACUUUAACCACUGUACUCUUUCCCUAUAGCUUUGAAAAGCUGGUAUCACUGGAUCAAAUUCAUCAGUUUUGUUGAACUAAUUAAACUAAAUAGUUUUAACUGGAUUUUGAAUAAAUGCGCAAUUAAGUGUUGCUGUUUUGAAUUCUAUUUUAUUAUUAUCUUUCUUAGUGGGUUGUGCAAAUCACUAUUCUGAAUAGUGCUUUUUAUAGGAUAGGGGGGCACUGGGGAUGAGUUUAUGGAACAAAGGGGACAGUGGCCCAGAAAAGUUUAGGAACCACAGGGCCUGAAUCUCCUUUUACUCAAAGCUCAGAAGAGCACCCCCAGUGGUGAAGCUGAGAGCUGCAUUGGACAAAGGAGAAGCUGGUCUGUGUUUGGGGGUUUCCGUUCCCUUUUGCUCAGCUGGGCCUUCAAUUAACUGAGUGGCUUGUUUCCUUUUCCUCAAUUGACGUGACCCUUGUGCAUUGUCAGGACAGGCAACAAUGAGUUGUUUGCGGUAAUGAAUGUUAUUCUUGAUGGGACAAGACAGGUGCUGAACGACACUCUGAUGUUUUAACAGAGUGGGGGAGUCAGUAGGCCCCUGACUCCGAGGACCUUGCAAACCCAAUGCACUUGCAAUAAAGGAAAGCCUGGUGGUACAGCAUCUGCUUUGUGUGGCAAGCAGUCUCCAAAUUAGUUCAUCUUAUCAUUUCCUUCUGCUGCCAUCAGGCUUCACGUCAAAGUGCCCCACCCAACUAGUCAGGUGCCUGAGGCAAACCACACAAGCCCACAUCACAAGGUUGUUGUGAGGUAUCUCACCAGGUUUGGUUCCCUGGUCUGCUGUGUCCUGCCUCUUAGUUCCCAGGCUCUACCCACUGCACCUCAGCCUCAGAGUACCACCAGACUUGGUAACCCCAGCACUGGGCCCGCUGGGAUGCUCAGGGGUCCUGUGUCAGGUGUGCCAAUGCAAAAACAGAAAGCACCCCUCCCCCGUUUGUGUGUUAGAAUCUGACUCCUGCCUUGAUGUGCCCAUUUCUGUUGCUGCUGGGGGGAAGGGUGCACCCAUCAACACUGGUUGAGGAUGGAAGAGGCAGUGGCUGCCCUUGGAAUAAAAAAUAAGGAUCUUGCAAAAGUGUCCCUAAUUUCAUCUUGGAGGAAAUGAAAAUGCUGCCUGCCAGCCAGCAGUCGGUUCUGGUCUCCAGAGCUAGGCUCACCCUCCCCUCCACAUAUUUUCCUUCCCUCUAGAGACAGCUGCACCCAGCCCAGGGGCCUCUCAUUGUGAGACUUAUCGGGGCUCUGCCAACAAUUGGCAGUUCGGGAAAGCAAAGGCCCAAACAAUCCGGGAAAGCAAAGGCCUGAACAAUAAGCGAAAGCGAAGGCUCCAACAAUCCCCUUUCCCCCUUCCGCUGGGGAGCGAGGGUUAAAUAUAACGUUGCGGUAAGAUGGGGGCGAUCUCAGACAAUGGGGAGUCCUGAGGUCUGGCUGGGCCAGAGGCUGCUGACAAAUGUGUAUGAACAGCCCGGCCAAAGGAAGCCUCCCUCAAUAGUUACUUGACAACUUCCUGUAUCCUGACAUUGUCACCCACCUCCAGACACACUUCCGCGGGAUCCUUCAUGAGACAGGUCUGGGGGCUUGGUGUCACCACACUUGGACUCACCUCCCAGCCACCCCUUCUCUGCCCAGUGACAUAACCUGUCCUGCCAAUGGGUAUUGUUACAAAACUCGUGUGCCUCCCCCUCUCUUUUUGCUGAGCCAUAGCAAGAAUCCAAGGGGUUCCAGUCACUCACACAGGGUCUGUGUUCCUCUGGAGAAUUGAGACACGGCGGAGACUGUCAUAGCUUUAAGAAAUAGGGCUUAUUCACCUAUUUACACAUUCGGUCUGCAUGGAGGGAGUCCAGAUUUUACAGCAUGGUCAUUUCUCGCACUGCAGCACAAGGGUGUGCAGUAUGGUGAUUUUUUCAGGGGGGAGGGUGAUAUAGCUCCUUGCCAAGGGGGCAAGGGAUCCUAGGUGCGCCUCUAGGUGAGCACUGCAAUCUGUGUGGCCUGUCGGAGAAUCACAGAAUUGAAGAAAUGGGAGGGACACCAAGGGUCAUCUAGUCCAACCCACUGCAAUGCAAGAAUCCUGCCCACAGUCAUCCCUGGAUGGGCUCAAACCACCAACCUUCUGGUUAACAGCCAGAUGCACUGACCCAUUGUGCCACAAGUCUCUUUAACAAUAAUAACAAAAUAAGUUUCUGAAAAUAGUUGCAUUCUCUGAUCUAGCCGUAUAAUUUAAUUGUUGAUUUCUGUUGGCCCCCCCCGCCCGAUGGAUAAAUUGUUAAUUAAUUAAGAAGGAGGAAGAGGAGAACAGAUACAAUUUAGUUACACAUUUUGUAAAUAAGAUUAUUAAGUUUAAAGAAUAUGUAUUAUUGUAUUUAGCCCAAGAACCACGAGUUAAGUGGCUAGUGGUGGCAUUUAUACAUACAUACAUACAUACAUACAUACAUACUUUUAUUACAUGCCACAUUUCCACAGCUCAAACCAUACUCAAGGCAGCUUACAACAUGAAAAAAUUACUUAACUGCAACAUAACCAAAGUAGUCAUAAAUGAAACAUUAAAAAAUACACGACCAAACCAAACAAUUUCCACAAGAUGUGAAACAAAGAUACAAAAACCCAGAGCAACAACAGCAACAACCCCCACAAACACCUCAGCCCCUCCCUUAUCGUUUCCUUUCCCCCCUAAUGCUUCAAUAAUUUAUUUUCUUUGUUUUGCUUUUAUUUCUCUUUGUGUACAUAAAUAAAAGUGAACAUGGAAGAUCAGAAUAGUUGUUGGGUAAGCAAUAUUAAGAACUCACACUCAAAAACCCCCUUUAAACGGUAUGUCCGUUGUGUCUCGUUUCCUGGUUGCCAGAAAUGAGAUGCAUCAAUGGAAAAGGGAGUCAUGUGGAGGCCACCAGGGACUGUGACAGGAAAAGGGGACAAACUGUAAGCCAGAUUCCCACGGUGUCGGGGGAAAGGGCAGAAAAGGAGCAUGAGAGGGGAGGGGGGAAGCCACGAAGCGGAGGGAGGGACAGUGUAUCCCCCUGGGAAUUCAAGAAGAAUGUGAUUCUGGACUUUCUUCAUCUGUAGCAUAGCUCUUUCUUUGCUUGACGUGGUGCUUCCAUCUUCUCAUAACAACCUAGGAGGAGCCUGGCCACUGGAUCAGGCCAAAGGCCCAUUUAGCACAACAUUCUGUUCCCACAGGGGCCAAGCAGAAGUCCCACCUGUGUUCUUUAGUGUUUAUUCUUAAAUAAGUGUCUUUAGGACUGGCAUAGGGUGGUCUUAUCCCCCUUUCUUUAAAAUAAUAAUAAUAAUCAUGUGGGGACAAAUGAGAAUCUUUUCAUCUAUCAACUGUAUAUAAACUAUUUCAUUUGCAACAAAAUGAAACACAAAAUCUUUCAUAAUAAUAAUAAUAAUAAUAAUAAUAAUAAUAAAAAAAAUUUAUUUAUACCCCCCCAUCUGGCUGGGCUUCCCCAGCCACUCUGGGCGGCUUCCAAAAAAAUAUUAAAAUACUGUAAUACAUCAAACAUUAAAAGCUUCCCUAAACAGGGCUGCCUUCAGAUGUCUUCUAAAAGUCUGAUAGUUGUUGUUCUCUUUGACAUCUGGUGGGAGGGCGUUCCACAGGGAGGGCGCCACUACCGAGAAGGCCCUCUGCCUGGUUCCCUGUAACUUGGCUUCUCGCAGUGAGGGAACCACCAGAAGGCCCUCGGCGCUGGACCUCAGUGUCCAGGCAGAACGAUGGGGGUGGAGACGCUCCUUCAGAUAUACUGGACUGAGGCCAUUUAGGGCUUUAAAGGUCAGCACCAACACUUUGAAUUGUGCUCGGAAACAUACAACGUACAAAAUGUUGAAGGAAGGCUAGAAAUUUGGGGACAUUUGUCUCCUUCCAGAGAAUUUUGUUGUUUUACUUGGUUUUUCUGUUAAGGGAUCUAAACUAGGAACUGAGGUCUUAGUGGAAAAUCUUUCACCCCCUCGGAGCCUUCUUUGGAGUACAGCCAGCCUUCUAGAAUUCCACUGGGAAAGAGAAGACUAGAUUGCAUAAUAAUUCAGCCUCCUUUUCUGUGGCUCUAAAUGCUUGCAUGUAUUUUCGUUGAUGGAGGUACGAAGGAAAUUCUAGGGCAGUCGUUUGGAAACUGUCUCAACUCUGUUUCCCAGAGCCACACUAGUAUGACUUGAGAGGAAAUAUAUUAAUGAAGUGCUGCUUUUAAACUUUAACAUCCCGAAUGGCCUGGAACCUGGGUACACCAAUAUCUUCUAUAUUUUCUUGCCCAUAUGCUUCAUGCAACAUCUGAGGCCUUGCUCCAGGUUCCACCAGGAUGAUCCUACUUUGCAGAGAAGAGUCCUCUAUUUGAAAGGGUCUCCAGUCCAAGUCUGCUUUAAAGAUAAAGUAAAGCACAAUGAGGGGACACAAAGCAGUUUUAACAAGGAGAAAUGGCACUGAAAGGUGCAACACAGACGCCAACACCAUAAAGCUAAUGCAACAAAACCUCUCUCAACUCCCUUCCCAGUGUACUCAACACCCCCUCUCAGUUGUACCUCCUGCUCACUAUACUCAAACCCCUGCCAUUGUUUAAAAUCAUUUUUGGCCUCUCAUUUUUUCAACAUUUCUGCUUUAUUCAAACCUCUUAUUUUAAACCUCAAUUUUCCUCUGUAUUCCUCCAUCCCUGCUUUACUCAAACCUCUGUUGUAGGAAAACAAAACAAAACUAUUUUCUUCUCAGUGUAGGUUAGUAGUGGAGCUGUAGGUUAGUAGUAGAGCUCAUGCUUUGCAUACAGAAGAUUCCAGGUUCAAUGUCAGCCAUCUCCAAGUAGGGCUGGGAAAUACUCCUGUCUGGCACCCUACUGCUGCUGGUCAGUGUAGACAUUACUGAACUAGAUGGAUCAACUUGGUAUAAGGCAGCUUCCUGUGUCCCAAUGACUCCCACAAGUAGUUUCUGAAGCUCUGUUCAUGUAUUCUGUGAAAUUCCUGGCUCGGGUGAUAGGGAUGGUGCCUGACAUCUCAGCUCGCAACUUCUACUUUCUACUGAAGCUCUAAAGAACUAGACAUUGUGACCAGACUCUCAGCAUUUUCCCAGGGCUGCUCUAAAUUGCUAGCCUACCUGGCUUAACCUGGUACUCCCUGUGGCUCAGUGCCGACAGUCCCACCCCACCCCUUGCUUGGCAAAGGCAUCCUGGCCUACUGCGAAUUUACUUAGUGACAAAUUUAUUUCCUUUGUUUAUUUAGAUCACUAUCUCUAUAGUGCCAUAUCAUUAAAUGUCAGGGAGGUGUACAACUACAAAAUGUAAAAACAAGACGAAUCAAGACAAGAUGUGAUCUUUCCAAUAUCCACCCUUCUCGGUCCCUCAGAGGGAGAGAGAGGGAGUUGGUUUUGUGAUUGUUGGUGGGAUUUAUUUUUAACCUAAACAAACAGUUUAGCAGAAUAUUUUGGUAACUGUCAUUUCUGGAAUUCACAAGUGCUGACUCUCAGGUCGCGGGAGAAGUGAUGGAGGGGGGGGGAAACGAGUGUUUUAAAAAGGGACCACUCGGGAAUGCUCUGUGGGAACAGAACAUAAGUUUACGUAGGAGUCGCCUAAGGAAUCAGACCAAAUGUCCAGGAAGUCCAAUAUCCCAUUUCCAGGAGUGGCCAGAGUGGUAGGGCUGGGAGAGGUGGGGCUGCCCUCCACACAGAAGUGUCCCUGUGGUUUACUGGGACAGUGCAGCCUUACGGGAAGGUUGUGGUGAGGGAGGGGCUACAUGUGCACAGGAGCACCAGAUUGGCUCUGCCAAUGUGGCCUCCUCCCCACAGGCAUGCCCUCACCACUGCCCUGGAAACAACAGCAAUGCCGCUUUCCAGAGGGCAAUUUUGCACCCUUGUACCAGCUGUUCCCGAGAGCGUCUGGACAAGCCAGGUGCCUCUGGGAAGCUAACCAGGAGAGUAUUAUGUCGGGGGGCUUGGUCAGCCUGGGUGAUAUCCUGGAUCCCUUCCAUGCCUGCUUAGAAUCUAGAAGAGACUGCUCAGCCAGUUUUAAAUAGUUGCUUCUAACUGUUAAUGCUAUAUUCUCUUUGUAAAUCACUUUGAGCGGCAUUCACCUAACCAGCCCUAUCAGUGGAAGCUCUUCACGAAGACUUCCACUUGCACAUUUGGGUUUUCCUCCUCCUCCUCCUCCUUCUGCAUGCCCUGGCACCCCUUGAAAUGGGCUCUGGGCUCGGGUGAACCCCUAGAACAGCACACAAGGGAAAGAGAGGGGAGAUGGUUCCAUCCAACAAGUUGAAGUGCUUGCACAGAUAGAACCAGUGGAAGAGAGCAAUGUUGAAUUCCAGCAAUUUUCCUUAGUCUGCAUAGAUACAUACAAAUUAGCAUGUUUUUCAGUUCUUUUUUAUUUUUUUGUAGUAACACCCUAGAGCUGACGCACAAACAUGCAGUUUUCUGUGCUCCCACAGAAUUGUGGUGAAUGCACAACCCUCUUCUGGGUUUUUAAACACUGCUGGGAAAACAUGCCCAUGGAAACAGUGGCAGAGGCAGGGGUGGCACUCAUAUUAGCCGCUUUGUCUUAGUCUCUUCCUUCCAGCUACCCAUCUACUUUCGUAAGCAGAGAGUCCUUAGCUCACUGGUGGAGCUUGCAAGAAAGUCCCAGGCUGAAUCCCUGAAAAAAGGGCUGGAAAAGGCUCCCUCUCUGAAACCUUGGAGAGCCUCUGCUAGUCAGUGUGGGCAAUACUGAGUUAGAUGGGCCAUUUGCAUGACUCAGUUUCCUGUGUUUCUGACCGAGAACAACUCUAUCCCCCGCUUUUUUCUCUUUACACCAAGGAGCUCCGCAGCUGCUGAGUUGCAAGAGAAUGGGUGUUUCGUCAUCCUGCGUUUUUUCGUUUCUCCCAGCUGGUCUGCAUUGUGAUGGGCUGCUUUGUUCUCUCUGCUCCCCUUUUCUUUGCCUUAUCGUGAAGCCGUUUCCUGCGGGUUCCGAAAAGAAUGGGCAGCAAAGGGGAGUUUACCCAGUAGGUCCCACCCUGGCUUGCCGCACAAAAGGCCUUGUAAUCAUCAUGGCAAACUUUGUAUUGCAGAGAGUGGCGGGGGGGGGGGAGACAAAAAGAGAGACAGACAGAAGGAGGGGGGAAGGGAGAGGAGAGAAAAUUGCGAGGGGGGGGGCGGAGAAUACAGUGGUGCCUCAGGUUACAUACGCUUCAGGUUGCAUACGCUUCAGGUUACAGACUCCGCUAACCCAGAAAUAGUGCUUCAGGUUAAGAACUUUGCUUCAGGAUGAGAACAGAAAUUGUGCUCCGGCGGCGCGGCAGCAGCAGGAGGCCCCAUUAGUUAAAGUGGUGCUUCAGGUUAAGAACAGUUUCAGGUUAAGUACGGACCUCCGGAACGAAUUAAAUACUUAACCUGAGGUACCACUGUAAUAAAAUAGCACCAGUUAGAGGAAGAUGGGGUGAUUUGCAUUUCUGCACACUAGCCUCAUCAUGGACAGCCUCACAUAAAUUUAUUAUUUUUUCCAUUUGCCUCCUACCUAAGGAGCUCAAGCAUCUCUUCUCUGCUCAGAGGCCUUGUAAGACUAUCCCCUCAUUCUAACUGCAAUUUCUAUCACAUGUUUUUUAAAAUCUUUUGUAUUAUAUAGCAUUUUCAAUAUGUGUAUGUUUUAUCUUUCUAUCACAUUGCAUUUUAAACCAUUUAACUUCUCAGGCAUUUGGGAACGGGCUGUGUUUCUUGCUAAGGCUUUUAAAUAGCGCUGUGCUGCUUUUACGAUCUGCAUUUUAAUAGAUUUGUUUUCUUAAAAUAUUGUUUUAACAUCUACUUACUUUUUAACUACUAUCUUUUUAAAAAAAGCUUUUUGUAUUUUAUCUGUGUUGUUUUAAUUUGCGCAAGCUCCCUCGAGUCUCAGCCUGGGGAAAAAGGCAGAAUAUGUUUUGUUUCAGCAGGACUGUGGCCGUAUAAUAAAUGAUUGGUCGACUAAUACUAGUCUGGGAGGUGUAAGUUAGGUCCUAGGCUUUAAAAUGUCGGCCAGAGAAAAUCCUCUGCCAUCCUUAACUGCUGCUAAAUGCACUAGGUCCAUGAAGAAAUCUCAUCCCAGAGAUCUUAAACCAGUUGCAGUGUGUGUGUGUGUGUGUGUGUGUGUGUGUGUGUGUGUGUAGUCUGGAGAGCUUGGGGUUAACAGUGUUGGCCUUGCAGGUGCAACCCAGAGUAAGGUUACCAGAUGUCCCUGUUUCCUGGGGACAGUCCCUGGAUUUACAAAUCAGUCCCCAUACAAAAUCCAUUGAAGUUGAAAAGUGUCCCUGGAUUCAUUGAAAAAAAAUCCGGUAACCUUGACCCAGAGCUCUCCUGUCCUCACCACACCCUGGCAAGCUCAGCGGCACGAUGGAGAGAAUGUCCUAGGUGAAUAUAGUACAGUAGUACCUCGGGUUACAGAUGCUUCAGGUUACAGAUGCUUCAGGUUACAGAUGCUUCAGGUUACAGACUCUGCUAAUCCAGAAAUAGUACCUCGAGUUAAGAACUUUGCUUCAGGAUGACUACAGAAAUCGUGCUUUGGCGGCACGGCAGCGGAGGGAGGCCCCAUUAGCUAAAGUGGUACCUCAGGUUAAGAACAGUUUCAGCUUAAGAACGGACCUCCAGAACAAAUUAAGUUCUUAACCCAAGGUACCACUAUAUUAACAAAUCAUUUAUAUAAUGCUAAAGGGCCGUAAUAGCUGCUGAAUAGUUUGCAAGCAUAAAAUCAGCUACACACAGAUGCACAAACACAAUUAAACAAUAGAACAACCCCACGAAAACACAAAAAUAAACAUCCACAAUUAAAAUGUGCAAUAAAACAAACCAAAUUAAAAAAACAGCACAACAAUUAGAACAGUUAAAACAGAAAUUAAAACAAUUAAAGCAGGAGGCUCAGGAGAUAUGGGUCUAACAAUUGGUUAAACAAUCUCUCCAGCUUCCAAGGGAACUUUGGAAAUUGUAGCUCUGUGUGGGGAAUAGGUGCCCUCUAACCAACCCCCCCCACAUAUCCCAGGAUUAUUUGAGGGAGGACAUGUCUGUUUAAAGUGGUAUGAUACUGCUAUAACUGUAUUGUGCAUAUGGGGCUGAAGCAUCCAAGUGAAUGCAUGCAAGAUGCAGCCACUCACUUCUGAAAAUCCUGAGGAAGCAUGGAGAGGGGCAAAGGGAUACAGGAUUCCUGGGGAAUAAUAGCAUGUGGGGUGUGGCAGUGCUCAAUACCGCCCCCCUGAGAGAGUGAUUACUUCCAUAAGAAGUCAGAAGUUAUGGGGGGUGGAAUGCAGGGAGUGCGGCUCCGAGACUUUUUUCAAAACAGGAGCUACGAUGCCAUCAGCUGCAGUGCUAGGAGAAUUGGUGGGCACUCCCCACCCUGACCCGGCAUGUAAAUGAGGCGAUAAUGAGGCUUUCAAGUUUUACUGUUUGUGUACAGCAUAGUGGAAGUCAGAGAAUAGGAAGAAGAAGAAGAAUUUGGAUUUGAUAUCCCGCUUUAUCACUACCCGAAGGAGUCUCAAAGUGGCUAACAUUCUCCUUUCCCUUCCUCCCCCACAACAAACACUCUGUGAGGUGAGCGGGGCUGAGAGACUUCAGAGAAGUGUGACUAGCCCAAGGUCACCCAGCAGCUGCAUGUGGAGGAGCAGAGACACGAACCUGGUUCACCAGAUUAUGAGUCUACCACUCUUAACCACUACACCACACUGGCUCUUCUAUGGCCAGUUUGCUCUUCUAUGUCUGUCAGAUGAUACGAGUAAGCUGUGUAUUGUGCUAUGCAUUUCUAUUUGGGUGUGUGUUGUCUGUGUGUGCACCCACAUGUCUAUGAUCAACACUGCACCUCCCCCCCUUUUUUACACUCUCCUUGGGAACAUGGCUAAGGGGUCGUGAUGAGUUCAUGAACCUCUGUGCCAUUGGGCAGGUUCGAACCCUGUGCUACCGCUUCUCUCUGUCUUGCGGGUUAACAGCAUCGGACAGCUGGGAGCUCUUGAUCUCUCGCCGGUCAGAGUGCAGGGGUAUUUUGUCGGGUUCCAUUUUGAUAGGCUCCAAACAAUUCCAGGGCACGAUGAAGGCAGAGGAAAUGCCCCGUGAAAAGGUGAUGUCGCAGAUACCUCCGAGGACUCUGGCCAACUGCAGAGGGACGGCUGAUACAUUUAUUAGCUGACAUCUCUGUUUUUGCUGCUUUAGCACUAAUAUUUUCCUUGGCAGAAUUCAAAACGGGGGUAAUGGACUCCAUUCUCAUAUAUAUUUUUUUCUUUAACCAAACAGUUCCAGCAAGGUGGAAAACAAGGCUAAGAGAACAGAUUUGCCUGCAGAGAUACCUGCUCCGGG